CAGCAGCCGCCGCGGGAAUACGUAGGGCGCAAGCGUUAUCCGGAAUUAUUGGGCGUAAAGAGCUCGUAGGCGGUUUGUCGCGUCUGCCGUGAAAGUCCGGGGCUCAACCCCGGAUCUGCGGUGGGUACGGGCAGACUAGAGUGAUGUAGGGGAGACUGGAAUUCCUGGUGUAGCGGUGAAAUGCGCAGAUAUCAGGAGGAACACCGAUGGCGAAGGCAGGUCUCUGGGCAUUAACUGACGCUGAGGUGCGAAAGCGUGGGGAGCAAACAGGAUUAGAUACCCCAGUAGUCCCUGUCUCUUAUAC
rnacentral:rRNA from 1 species